UGGGGAAUUUUGGACAAUGGGGGAAACCCUGAUCCAGCCAUCCCGCGUGUGCGAUGAAGGCCUUCGGGUUGUAAAGCACUUUUGGCAGGAAAGAAACGUCGCGGGUUAAUACCCCGCGGAACUGACGGUACCUGCAGAAUAAGCACCGGCUAACUACGUGCCAGCAGCCGCGGUAAUACGUAGGGUGCAAGCGUUAAUCGGAAUUACUGGGCGUAAAGCGUGCGCAGGCGGUUCGGAAAGAAAGAUGUGAAAUCCCAGAGCUUAACUUUGGAACUGCAUUUUUAACUACCGGGCUAGAGUGUGUCAGAGGGAGGUGGAAUUCCGCGUGUAGCAGUGAAAUGCGUAGAUAUGCGGAGGAACACCGAUGGCGAAGGCAGCCUCCUGGGAUAACACUGACGCUCAUGCACGAAAGCGUGGGGAGCAAACAGGAUUAGAUACCCUGGUAGUCCACGCCCUAAACGAUGUCAACUAGCUGUUGGGGGUCUUCGGACCUUGGUAGCGCAGCUAACGCGUGAAGUUGACCGCCUGGGGGAGUACGGUCGCAAGAUUAAAACUUAAGUGAAUUGACGGGGGUCAUAGCUG
rnacentral:rRNA from 1 species